CUAGCAUAUCAAUAAGCGGAGGAAAAGAAACUAACAAGGAUUCCCCUAGUAACUGCGAGUGAAGCGGGAAAAGCUCAAAUUUAAAAUCUGGCGGUCUUUGGCCGUCCGAGUUGUAGUCUGGAGAAGUGCUUUCCGCGCUGGACCGUGUACAAGUCUCUUGGAACAGAGCGUCAUAGAGGGUGAGAAUCCCGUCUUUGACACGGACUACCAGUGCUUUGUGAUGCGCUCUCGAAGAGUCGAGUUGUUUGGGAAUGCAGCUCAAAAUGGGUGGUGAAUUCCAUCUAAAGCUAAAUAUUGGCGAGAGACCGAUAGCGAACAAGUACCGUGAGGGAAAGAUGAAAAGCACUUUGGAAAGAGAGUUAAACAGUACGUGAAAUUGCUGAAAGGGAAACGCUUGAAGUCAGUCGCGUCGUCCGGGACUCAGCCUUGCUUCGGCUUGGUGCACUUCCCGGGUGACGGGCCAGCAUCGAUUUUGACCGCUGGAAAAGGGCUGGAGGAAUGUGGCACCUUCGGGUGUGUUAUAGCCUCCAGUCGCAUACGGCGGUUGGGAUCGAGGAACGCAGCACGCCUUACGGCGGGGGUUCGCCCACCUUCGUGCUUAGGAUGCUGGCAUAAUGGCUUUAAACGACCCGUCUUGAAACACGGACCAAGGAGUCUAACAUACCUGCGAGUGUUUGGGUGGAAAACCCGAGCGCGUAAUGAAAGUGAAAGUUGAGACCUCUGUCGUGGAGGGCAUCGACGCCCGGACCUGACGUUCUCUGACGGAUCCGCGGUAGAGCAUGUAUGUUGGGACCCGAAAGAUGGUGAACUAUGCCUGAAUAGGGUGAAGCCAGAGGAAACUCUGGUGGAGGCUCGUAGCGAUUCUGACGUGCAAAUCGAUCGUCAAAUUUGGGUAUAGGGGCGAAAGACUAAUCGAACCAUCUAGUAGCUGGUUCCUGCCGA
rnacentral:rRNA from 1 species